AAUGACGUAUUUGUUGUAAUUGCGGAACGUAUGCGAUUGUGAGAACAAGUAUACCGUAUAAAGUUGGAUAUUACGGUCACUUGAAUAUUGGUGUGACAUGAGUCAAAGUUGAUUGUUUUCCGAUAUUUACUGAUUGAUACUAAACUGACGAGUAAAAUGUGUUCGCAAAGUCAACCGUGCUUCUGUGGAAAAGCAAUAUUAUUUCUUCAUAAAAGGAGACGUUAAGCACAUACUUGUCCGGUGGUGCUGCAUGAGGUGGAGGAGCGCUGGGUGGUUUGAGGCUUCGGAAAGCCUUAAGCCACUUAUUUUUCAUGCUGCCUGCUGAAGACGAUGAUAACUUGCGAUCUGCUGCUACAGUGCUGCUGUCCGCUUUGGCCGCGAACAACUCCCUCUGCAGAGAAAAAAACAAUUCAGAAUUGGCAGAAGAGCCAAAUAUGGAUAGACUUCAUUUAAAACCAAAUUCCAUCCUCGUUAAAAUGUUAUGCAAUUGAUUUCUGAAGAAAACGUUUUUGGCAUUCAGAAUAAAACAAAUUAGAACAGAUUUGAUUGAUUUAAUAAUUGGAGAUUUAUUAGAAUAAAAAAUACGAAAAUAUUUUUA